UUUUCAUCUCCAGCGUCGACGUCCUUGUCAUCACCACCAUUGUCGUCUUUGCUGCCAUCUUCAUCACCUUCUCUUCUUGUUUGACAGUUUCAUUCUUGCUCUUCUCUCUUGUUCUUUUGCCUUACACUUCUCUUUCUUAUGCAGGCUUCUUCUUCUAUCUCCCUCAGCAACCACUUCCAUCUUCUCUCCAUUUCAGUGGCUGAAAGGUCUUCAACGUUGGAAGGCUCCAAGGAUAACCUGGCUCUGAUACCAUGUUGACAUUCUUCACACUCUCUCUUUUGUUCACUCAGCUCAUGACCCAACCAUGAGGAUCACGACCCAUGUCGGCGAACUCAUGGAAUAAGCGGUGGAAGGAGCGGAGGCUCGGGGUGGUGCAGCGGCGGCUCAGCCUGGAAACAGAAUCAGCGGUGUGUGCGAGAGUAUCGGCAAGCUCAGCACAGACGAGGCUGAGGUAGAAGGUCUCGUCACCAUUGACGAUCUUGGUGAGGCCUUCUAAGGAAAGAGAGUGAUCACGGAGAGUGAUGAGAUUAGAGUCGGUGAGAGAGUGAGUGAGGUGGAGGAGUUUGGUCAUGACACGUGCUACCUCGAACGAUAAAACUCCGACGGAGGAGGAAGUGGUGGUGGUGGUGAUCGGAGGAGAUGGCCGGAUUUGUCGACGAGAAGUGGGUUUGGAGGAAAUGGCGUUUUUGAGUUUUAUUAGGAAAGUUUCGAGAGCCAUUGGAGAAGCAAAGCAAAGCCAAAGUGAGAAUGAUUUGAUUUGAAGGAAGUAAAUGGAGAUGUAGUGAGAUUUGAGAUUAUAUUCUUUCUUCUUCUAGGGGAAUAACAAAGUUGAUGCGUGAAUGGCUCGUGGGGUGUUCAAGCCAUCAUUACACUUUAGGAUUUUUGAAAAACAAAAACGGUAUUUUCGAAUAGAAAUAGAUAAUGCAUUUU